rnacentral:lncRNA from 1 species
GUUUAUAUUUUAAUUAGGUACAGAGGUUAAUCUAAAUGACACAAUAAUGCACAUACAUAUAACACAUGCAAUUAUAAUGCAAACAAGUCAUAGCUUAAGGAGGAACAGUGUGAGUCUGUUAUUUUCUUUUGAGCUGUUUCAGAAAGAUAUUCACUGACUGCAUGAAGAAGACAAAUCCAUGAGAGCAUACAUAUACAAGAUGGUAUGAAGCAAAGAUCAGAGAUUACAACAAAAGAGACCAAUAGGGCUGAGAAUUGAACCUGCGACAUUGCACAUGAAGAGGGAUAGAAUUACUCUUUAAUGAAGAUAUUGUUGAGACAAGCUAUGGAGGAUUGGUACCCGGGUACUGCACAGACACUGGGAUAAUUCUGGAACUAGAGAAAGAGCAGCAACUUCAUCAGUAGAUAUGUGUAUACAGACAGAACAGAACAUUUAAAACAACAAGAUAAAGAACUGAAUAAAUCAACGGCUCUGAUAAGAUGAUUCACUCCAAAUUGAUUUUUCAGCAACAAGCCCUGAUGUGGACAAAUACUCUCAAACUCUAGCCUUUCUUGAAUUCAUGUGGGUCUCAGGGUCCCUUUGAGACUGGGUGGGUUAAGCAAUUGGUGCUAUGAAUUCCAUUCAGAGGUUAACAUUAAAGGGGCUGAUUUCAGAACAUUCCAAUGGAAGUGUUCAUCUAGAGACACAUACUUUAAACAUACUCAUGUUAAAGAUACAUGACCCCCAAUAUAUAGUAAAUAAUUUAUAUAUUUAAAAUACAUUUUGAGAAUCUUUAAGCUUGAGUUUGCUUACACGGUUUGUAGACAUAUUAGUAUAUAAGAUACAUUAAGUAUCCAUAUAAGAAACUGAUCUCAGUAGAUAGUUGCCAAUCUACUAUUUUCAAAAUCUU